rnacentral:lncRNA from 1 species
UACAUACAUUAGAUGUAGUAUAGAAACAUGUUGAUAUGAUCAACAUGUAGUUCUUGCUCUUUAUAUUUUAAUUUUAAUUUAAUAUCAUGUAAUAAUCAUGUAAUAGGAUCUUAGAUCCAAAGAUUUUUUAAUUUUAUAAGAUAAAUUUUGAUUUAUUUUAGUCUUCCGCUGUCUGAUCUUGAAAAAGUUUCAAGAUCUAACCCUAAAACCCU